rnacentral:rRNA from 1 species
GCAGUAGCCGCGGGAAUACGGAGGAUCCAAGCGUUAUCCGGAAUCAUUGGGUUUAAAGGGUCCGUAGGCGGUCUUGUAAGUCAGUGGUGAAAGCCCAUCGCUCAACGGUGGAACGGCCAUUGAUACUGCAGGACUUGAAUUAUUUGGAAGUAACUAGAAUAUGUAGUGUAGCGGUGAAAUGCUUAGAGAUUACAUGGAAUACCAAUUGCGAAGUCAGGUUACUACCAAUUGAUUGACGCUGAUGGACGAAAGCGUGGGUAGCGAACAGGAUUAGAUACCCCGGUAGUCCCUGUCUCUUAUAC